GAGGCCUUUGGGAGGGGAUUUCAUAAAGGAUGAAAUAAAGUCAUUAGGGUGGAGACCCCAUGAUUUAGUACUGGUGUUUCUAAGAAAAGGGAGAGAGACUGGAAGAGAUAUACAUGUACAGUCCCUGUUUCUCACCAUAUCUUGCCCUCACCAUCUCAGGACUCUGCUAGUAAGAUUGUGAAGUAAUAACAGUCACCACAUGCAGCCCCUUGACUGUGGACCAGAACUGUGAGCCCAAAUAAACCUCUUUUCUUUACAAGUUAUCCAGUCUAUGGUAUUGCGUUAUAAGCAACAGAAAAUGGACUAAGACAAUCUACAAUGAGACAAUAGCAUGGGGCUUGGCUAAAUUGGCAUGGAAUGUAAAACCAGAGGAGCCUCAGGGAUUGCCUAAGCUGCCUAAUAGUUAUAUGAGUUAAACAUUCUGAACCAGCAGCCUCCUUAUUUGUAAAAUGAAAUAAAUAAUACCUCUCUGAAUUGUGGAUGUUAGGCUUAAUAUAAUGCUCAUAAAAUGCUUAUGAUAGAUUCCUGUGUUUCUUAUAUACACAGAUGUUUAUCCUUGGAAGUGAGAAGAACAGUUGUGAAUGGAGUUGUUUGUGGAGCAUUGGUCCUGGUGAUAACACUUAGAUGUUAUAUUCUAAAUGCUUACAUGCUGUUUUCUUCCAUUAGUCUGUGAACUACUUAAGGUGCAGUCCUGAAUUUCUAGCGUGAAAGAUGUCAUAGGGAAGAGGCCCAUAAUUUGGAGGAGGUUCUAAUUCUUGGGAGGCAGCCCACAAAAGGAGGAAGGGCUGCCUUCCAGGUUAUAAAGUGGUUAUCGUCCAGCAGCCAUCAGUGUGUUGAGAGAACCAGCAAUGCGUGCGGGUCGACGUCUGUGGGAAUCUUCUUUGAAUGAAACUCAGUGCUUGAUCCAGGAUGUAAAUUAGAUGAUGCUGGCUUUUUUUUUCUUUCCCUAUCAAGAACUGAUCCUUGUUAUAUAUCACUUUUAAAAAAUCCAUUUUUGAAAAGGGGAUAAACUUUAAAUUAAAGGGCAAGCAGGAGGCCUGGAAAGCCAUGUAGUUUUAUGCAUUAAUUCCCUAAUGAAGGGAAAAUUGAUAGCCCCUGACAGUUCUGAGAACAAUAGGACUCUUUACAUUCCUUUUGCUUCUUUCCCCCUUGUCUUCAGAAUUUGCCUCCAAGAACUUAUAUAAAGCAAUCUCUGUGGUUCUUGGGUUUGGAUCUUUUCCUUAUAAUAUAUCAGUGGGCACAGGGAAAAGAGAUUGCUUAGAAUCUGGACUUUCUGUACAAGAUGUCUCAAAAUCCCUGAGCUAUGUCAUGAGUUAAGUUCAUCAUAAUGAAAAAACAAUAAUAACAAAAAUGAUUUAGGAUUGAAAGUCUUGGGUCCUAAGUAUUGGCCAUGUACUCACUGAAUGGUUUUGUACCAAGAAUUUAAUCCUUAUGAAUCUCAUUCUUAUCAUUGUUAAAACAGAAAUAAUAAUGAUAGCCAUCUGCCAGGUCAUUGUGAGGAUCAAAUGAGAUACUAUUACAUGGAACCAUAUGGUGCUGCCAAUAUUCAACUGUCUUUGAUCUUCAUAAACAAUUGCUUUAUCAGGACGAACUCAAACUAUCUUUUGCAAAGUGCAAAAAAAGUGGAACUUCCCUAACAACUACAGAAAAAAUAUAUGGGAAGGAGUGUGUAGAAUUUAGAUGAUCUUCACAAAUUGUACAAAGGAAAAGUAACCUGAUAUUAGUAGUUGUUAGGAAUAGAUUGAUCCAUAUAAUAUUUAUUUUAAGCAAAUAGAAAAAUAACACCUGCGUUUUUUGUUUGUUUGUUUGUUUUGGUAAUUGAAGUUCAAGUUGCAAUAAGGCUCAGGAAAUGACCUGGCUGACAAUGGUGUAUUUCACACAUCUUAUCUAGUUGAAAUAUAUUAAUAUAUAAAUAUGUUCUGCUUCUCAUCUCAAACAGAUGUUCUUCAGUCAGGGUUAAUAAUAUAGGCUUAUGUUCCUUAAUAAAGAUUGUGAAAGUCAAAAGUGGAAGACUUAGAAACAACACUGAUUUUUUUAUAGUAACAGAAAAGGAUCAAUACUUUAUAAAGAUGUAGAAAUGUGAUUUUGUCCAGCUGACUUAAAAACAGCAUUGUACAGGGACACAGCCACAUCAAUAUUUAUAGCAGCACAAUUCACAAUAGCUAAACUGUGGAACCAACCUAGAUGCCCUUCAAUAGAUGAAUGGAUAAAAAAA